UGUGAAAACAGACUAAUACACUGCAUGUUCUCACUUAGAAGUAGAAGCUAAAUGAUGAGAACUCACAGACACAAAGACAGACACAAUGGAUACUCAGCCCUACUUGAGAGUGGAGGAUGGGAGGAAGCAGAGGAGCAGAAAAAAAUAAAUAUUGGGUACUAGGCUUAGCAUCUGGGUGAUGAAAUGAUCUGUACAACAAACCUCCAUGACACAAGUUUACCUAUAUAACAAACCUGCACAUGUACCCCAAAACCUGAAAGUUAAAAGUCACUAAGCCAGUUAAAUGAGAUUAUUGUUAACAACCUAAUAUACAAAUUGUGCUCUCUCUACUAAUCUCUGUAGAUAGUUUGAGCCCAGUCCUUAAUUCUCUUUGGCAAGAAUUGCAAAUUACCUUUAGCUACGGAUUUCAUUGUUCAAUUGGUUUUAAUUACAGCGUUUUCCAUUACUCAUCAUUUUCCUUAUUUCAAAUUAAGCCUCUCUUUUACUUCUUCCCUUAAGAGGAAAUGAGUGUUUGUCUUUUCUCAAACCUUCCUUUACAUAUUUGUAUCACAUGCCUUUUGUUUGCCUUUCUGGAAUAAACCCACUGUUCUCUCAUGUCCACAGAUGCCUCAUCAUCCCAGCAUAAAUUAUUCCAAUGUUUCAUGUAUUUACUUUUUUAAAUUUUAAAAAAUAGCCUGCCUUUCUUCUUCUGAGAUGCAAUAAUAUAAAGAAACAUGGACAGCCUAUUUCUUGUGCUUCAAAGAACAUAUUCCUAAUAAUUUGGGCCACUAUUUUGUUCCAUUCUAGUGUUUUUAUUGUGUGUGGAAAAAUCCUUCAGGUUAAUUCCUCAGUUUUACUCAGAACUAGAAUGCCUGGCAGUGUGAGGUCAGUGUUAUCACCAAUUCUCAACCAGCAUCAGGAAGGACCACACUUAACCCAGCUGUGACUGAUAAAUAACUCCUGGCUUAGCAGAAACUGUGAGCUUGUGUGCGAUGGUUAAGCAAUGUAAUAAAGGAACCAGCUCUAGUGGAGAGACUCUGAGCUCCAGAAGACUCACUGAGAAUGUCACCUUUGCUAGGAGAACAAACCCUAGAUAGCUUUCUGGAAGAUGAGAGACCACAUGGAACAGAGACCAAUGAUCUCGGCUGAAGACAACUUCAACCAGUUCCCGGCUGACCCACCAACUGACCACAGAUGCAAGAGUGAGCUUAACCAAGAUCAGCUGAGGUUGGCCCAGAUCAGCAGAACCACCAACCCAGUCCUAAGUUCACAAACAAAAAUAAAUUUUCAUUGUUACAUACCA
rnacentral:lncRNA from 1 species